CAAAUAGCAAUGGCAAGAUGAUAUGUUUGGACGUAAACGACAAGCUGUCAUAAGGAAACGAAUAACGGAUUUAAUUCGACUCCCGUCAGCCAAUGACCAUGACUGAUGCAUCACAACAAUUCUGCCUUGGAUUUUAUUUAUAUUUAUUUCUAGUAAGGGACACUUUUUGGACACCUCCGCAGUUGAUAUCUUUCUCUUUCUGAGUUUCUUCACAAAGCCAGCCAGCAGACUGCAUUUGCACUAUCACCAUGGAUACAGCAUACAAACCACGUGACUUCCCACCAUCCUUUCUAACGACGCCAUCAUGACAACAGUCACGUGACUUGAAAAAGAGGGAUCCUUGUCUGCCUUCAUUCAAUGAUGCACUCAAUAGAUGUGACAGGUGUGGAAGAGAAAUAAAUCAGGGUGCUAGCCCCUUCCCCAUGCAACCCCAAGGAAAAAAUGAAAAGCUAGUUUAAAGUAGACUUACUUAAUUUUGCCACUGUGAUUUCUGGUCAUACUGAAGGCCUAUUUUGUAGAAAUUGGUGCAUGAGAAACAUGCCUUCCCCUCGUCACGGAUUUUUUUUUUCAUUUCAUCUGAUGGAGAAAAAAAAUGCGCACACCAACGACGGUAGAGGGCAUCAACACCUUGCAAAUCUGAUUGCAAAGUGCUGACGCCCUCUACGUUCGUUGGCUGGCUCAUUAUGAUUGCUCGCAUCGGUGAUUUUGAAAUCUGUUUAAUAAUCUUCUGGUUGAAAAUUUCCUGAAUGAAUACAGACAUUGAUCUCCUCAUAAACCAUCGCAUCGGACACUCUCUCAACGCCUGAUUAAAAAAAAAGUGAAAACCACAGUGGUGAACUUCGCCCUCUGCGUUUACAACGUCCACUCCAAAAAUCGCGUUCCAUCCAACGUCAAAACAAUAUCGAUAAUCAUUGGAAUAUGACUAAAGAUGAAUCAAAUAUUUUCAUAGAUGGUAAAACAAGUUUUUUUUAAGUUAUAUGAGACAAUUCGUCUUAGGCAAGUUAAAAUCCGAAAAUGAUAACGUGGAUACAAGUAAUUGAGAGAGUGAGAUAUUAUGAUUGCAUAACAAAUUAUAAUAUUUUACCUUGUUAGACAAAGCUAAUAGAUCAAUCUCAUAUAAUAAUCAAUCUUUGUUCGUAGUGAGCCUAACAAUUGUAAAAAUGUACACUAUGAAUAUAUUUUGCUAGCUACGUCUUAUGUUUCCAGUCCAGAAGAGGGUGAAUGUCAUUUUCAUUUUCUCCCUUGAUUAAAUACCUGAUUUGAUCAAUGAAACCAUUAUGAUAUAACAUAAUCUAAUGCCAUAAUGUAUAUGCAGCGGUAGUAAAUAGUAAUUGGUUUCCUUCUUACUCUCGGCUGUUAUUUUAAAGAAUAUUUCUAAAAGAGAGUGAGAAUACCUUUUCAGAACUAUGUGCAACUCUUUAUUACAAUGUAUUACAUUCAGAGAAAGUGGGGCAUAUACCUUCUCUAUGUUUAAUAUGAAAUCUUAAAAGUGGUUAGGUAAACGUAUAAUAUGAAUAAAAGUACUAAAUCAUCGGUUUAACUUAGGAAUGAAUUUUUAUUAUAUAAGGUUGAAUUGCAAUUUCAUUUUUAAAAUUUGGUUAAAAUAUGAAUGAAAGUAUAGAUUUCUUAUGGAAAUAUCAGUUGCUAUGCUAAGGAUAACAAGUAUGAAUGUACAGUAUGAAAAUAUGAAUUUUUCCAUUUUGUAAAUUAUUCAUCAAUUAUCAUCAUAUCUUGCUUCAUGUGGUUGUUCAUAGUUUUAGAACGUAGGGUCCACUGGCAGGCAUUCCACACGCGUUUAGUAGGGACAUGACUAUAGCUUAUGACGUCACGCUUGGCAUUGAACGUGUGUAAUACCACCUAGCCAUACUUUCUUCAUCUAGAACUUAACCAAAUUAAUUGUUAAUUAUGAUGAUAAUGAUGAUGAUGAUGAUGAUGAUGAUGAUGAUGCUCAUGAUGAUGAUGAUGAUGACGGUGAUGAUGAUGAUAAUGAUGAUGACGAUGAUGAUGAUAAUGAUUAUGAGAAAAUGAAGAUACAGGUGAUGAUUGAAUUUAAAAGAAUUGUGUUAUUAUAUAAGGAUGGUUUUAAAUGUUGAUGCUGCUAAUUUUGACGAUUAUGUUAUGUAAGGUAAAUUAGUAUCAGUAAAAUAGACAAGCCUGUAUUCAAAUAAUGAAACUAAAGUAUUCAAAUCCCUCACUUUGAUCCAGUCCAAUAUUGUUUAGAAUCACAUUGCCUUUAUUCUAAAUGUUGCAACCCCCACCCUCCCCCCCCCCCCCCCCCCAUAGUUCGUUUAUCAUGGUCGCUUUCAAUAGACACACAAUCAGGGCCAACGGUUUGCUGUAUGCCAAGUAAUGAUCAAUCCAUGCAGUCAAAAAAAUAUAGAAAUGACGUUCUGAUUAUCGCUUGUCACUUUACUUGUCUAGCGCUAAAAUAUCAAUUUCUGAAACAUCCACACUUUUACUUGUAGGGCAUAUGUAUAUUUUGUUAUGUAUAAUCUUUCCUGUCAAAUAUCAGAUAGAAAGAAUGAUGCACUCGUCUUCGAUCUGUGCAACAUUUGAUAACUCCUAUAGCUACUCAUUUAUAUCGUGUAAAUCGGAACCCCACAAAGGGUUUUCACAAACGGUUGCUUAUGUUGCAUAUAAUGGCUUAUUUAGGCAAAUAAUGUUUUAUUUGUUUGUUUGUUUGCGUACUUUAUUUUUUCACCUUCAAAUGUCUUUGGAGAUAUCUGUGUCUAAAUAUAACUACUUGACAAAAUAAUGAAGAUCGUGAUUUUUAAAAAGUAAAUUUUGAUAAGCCAAGUAUACCAAUACGCAGCACUCGACAAAAACGCAUGCCAUAUGCAUAGAUGUUUUUUUCUUUGUUUCUGAAAAGUUCGUUUAUACAACACCAACUAUUGUUAAAACAGCAUCGAUUUAAUUUCAAGCCGGUGUUGUUUCAACACCUCUCUGGUGUGGUCAUAUAUAUAGAUUCUGGACUGAUGUUAAAUUAACACCGCAGUUUUUGCAGUGUAUGUCUUAAGGGGUUAUACUUUAUUAUAAUGUAUUUUGGCUCUGUUAUACAUAUAAACACAAAAUAUGACUUUUUUGUAAAAUUGUGACGAAUGCACUAUCCUCACACGAAAUUUCAUCAAUGUUAUUUCUUACAUCAAUUUAGUCUCAUUCUAUUUUGGGAUUGCUCAUAAUCACAAAUGUUUUGGGGUAAUUUUUUUCAGUGACCUCGCAGUUUUCAGGUGCACUUUUCUUUUCAUUGAAAUGAGAUUGAACAAUAUAGUGCACACUAGAAUUUGCAAAUGAGGAAAUAGAUCUUACAUUUUUAAGUGCCCCCCCCCCCCUCCCCCUGCGUUCGGCCAUAAAUAAGACCUUCAUCAUCAUUUUAUGACGCAUUUCAAAAUAUGUUCAAUAUUGACUGUAAUAGCAAUUUAAGAUUAUUUUUAAAGAUAACGCAUUUUUUUAUGUUUCGAUUAUCAUGCCAUUUCCAGGAGAAUAUAUACAUUGUGUUUUCAAUUUCCUAGCUGCUCAGAUUAGGUAAAGUUUGGCAAAUCUGACUAUAAAAGUUCGAAUUAUCUUAAUUUUAUAGUAGGCCUCAACUACAGUUGUCUAAUAAAUUUCAUUUGUUUUGUCACGUAUUUUUAUAAUCUAUAUUCCGAUCCCAUGAAUUCAGGCUAGUGCAAUUCCCUGUCCGUUUUUUUUUUCUUUUCUCGUAAAAAAGAGGAUUCUUGUACAUGAUGUAAAUAAAAUUACAGAUGAAUAUUAACUCCGCUUUGUAUCCUAUUGCAAGUGUGGUAUAGCUUUUUUCCGUCAUAGAAUUUUUUCUCAUGUUUCUGCAAAAAUAAAUUAUUUAUAUAUCCUUGUCAGCAGUA